rnacentral:lncRNA from 1 species
UAAUGUAACACAAAGUAAAUAAGGAAGCGUUUUGCAUAUUCUUAGAUUUUUACAUUUUUAUUUUAAAACAGAGAAUUUCAUAUUGAUUAACACCUACUACUAAACAGAAUGAUGCAUUAAUUAAAUGCCUUGUCCUAACUGUUAUAAGCUCUGUUAGAAAAAUAAACAUCUCACCACAAACUACAGUGUCAGCUCUUUAAUAAAUACAUAAAACAGAAGUUAGUAGUCAAUCAGAGUUAUAUGAACAGGUUCAUAGUAUAUUAUGUGAAAGUAUCAUAUUCUCCAAUAUUCUGUAUCAUUUAAGACAAUUUAAGUUACGUAUAAUUCAAAGCCAGAAAUAAUAAGAAAUAUGUUCAGUGAUAAUUUGCUUCUUUCUUAGAGCUAUUUUAUAUUCAAAUAUUUAAUUUAAAAAUAUAUUCUAUAUUAAAUUUAUUUUUACAAACGCAGUAUUCGUUAGGUGAAACAAAAUAAGUUUUUAUGUUACUGAUAAGUUUAAUACAUUUCUAAUUUUUUUCAGAAGUUCAAGAAACCAUAAUGAAGUAGCUAAUGUAAAAUAGUUUAAAAGCUAUGUUAAAUAUACACAAAAUGAAUUUCUAUAUUAAUAUGUGCAAAUGUAUAUUUUCUUAUAAUUUAGAAUUAAAGUACUUUAUACUCAAUAUUCUUAAUAAAAUUUAUGUACCAUACUUGUCAUUGCGUAGACUUCUUAUCAAAAUUUCACAUUUAUCUGUAGGAAAAUGUAAAGUUGGUAAAAAUUGUUUACACAAAUCACACAUUUUCCAUCCUUGACAAUUGCAGUAAAUGUCACAAUUUCAGAGAUGUUAAAUUGAAAAAGUGAUGUCUUGGAAUCAAUGAAAUAUAAAUAUGGAUAUGUAUAAUCAGUUAUACAUAAAAAUUUGCUAUAGAGGAAUUAUAAAAGAAAAGGAAAAUUAUUUGAAAGAAUGUUAGCUAUAUCUCAGUGGUCUGCAUUGCAUAAAAUGGAGUUCUUGAGGUCAAUAUAAAUAAGGAUAGUUGUAAAUUAAAUAUUGAGUCAACAUAACAGAAUGCAAUCUGCACAUGAUUGAGCUCCCAUGUAACUAUAUUUCACUUGAUACUUUUAUGAAAACAUAUAUAUUCCAAAUCCUUCAAAAUGAAAAGAAGCUCAAACAGUUGUGAAAAUUUAGAAUUCUUAGAUUUUAAUGGGUCUGUCUUUGUUCAGGGGCAAAGACUCAAAUGAGCUUUAAGAUCAAUUAAAGAUGUCUGGAAAUGAAGAACUUCAUUAUACCAUUAAAUUCAGUUAUUUUUCACUAUUAGGCUUAUUAAGCUUGAAGCUUUAGGAAAUCUCUUGGGAAGAGUGAGUGGAAAAAACAGGAGUAAGAAAAGGAAGAAAAAGCCUUUGAGUCUAAUCUACUCUACCAGGUUCCAGGAAGAAUAUAAUUCUACAGAGAAAAUUCUUCAUAAUCUAUCAUAAUAUAUUUCAGUGUCUGAUGGCUGACUCUUGUCUUGCAUAAAGAUAUCUUCAGUGGAUAUUAAGUAAAUAUUAAAAAUAUAUUUCAGAUUCAUUCUUUGAAGGAUUGCAUCUCAUGCAUCCACAAAUUUUAAUGUUGAGUUUUGGAAAAUUGCCUCCAGAGAUAUCUACUGUGUUUAAUCUUAGAUUUUUUUUUUAUUUUAAUAAACCAAAGAUAAACUGAACAUUUAAGACAUAAUCAGAUUUUUAGUGAAUUUUUAAGUCCUCCAGAAAAGUCUAUGACUUAAUAAAUAUUAGCAAGUUUCCAAAAAUAUAACAAAUGUUUAUAAAUACGUGUGCACUGCAGUGCAAUGGUGUCCCCAGAGAAAUAAAAUGCAUAACAAAGCAAAUGUUAUGUUGUAGUGUAUGUAUGGCACAUUUAUAAAUCAUUACAUACUUUAGGGCACAAAAAUGCUGCAGUACUAAAAGUGUUGUUCAAGUUCUCAAUUCUGUUAACAAUUUAAAAUUUCAUUAAUUGUGUUUAAUAUCAAUGAAUCUCAAAAGGCUCCUGUGGCCAUAUUAGUUGAAAAUAGACUCUAUUUGCAUACAUUAUUUAACCUAAGAGUACCCUGUGUUCCCUUACCAUUUAAUUAAUUCUAACUAGUCAAAUAUUAAUUCUCAUCUCACAAAUCAUUACACAGGAAGAUAUCAAUUAUUCAAGUAAAAUACAAGCCCUACAAUCUUUAAAAAUUAGCUUUUUAAGUAAAAACAAAAAAGAUAAGCACAAGACUUUGCAAGCAUAACCACAAUCAUCGUCUAACACUGAGUUGCCUACAAGGAAGUUUGUCCCUUCCUAUGGUAACAGCCUUGGUCCACUAUAAAGUUAGUGCAAACAAGUGAGGGUAUAAAAAAAAUAUAAACUCUGGAUUUUUAAGGAUUUCAUUUUGUUAUACUCUUUUUGGAUAAUUCAUUCCAUACGGAAAUUUGUUUAUUGUUCAUAAAUAUCAUAAUGUUCAUUUCAAAAAUUGUCAUCAUCUUAAUGGCUAUCUUACACUUUUUUCUUUUGGAGGGUUGUCAGGCAUCCAUCCAUUUUCCUUUUUAAGAAGAACGUUAUGUGUAUUAGGCUACUAAACCCAAUUUUUACAUUAUUUUUAGUGAUCAAAGGUUUCUUAUACAAGUGACUCACAGUACUGAAUUAUGUCAAUCUCUCAUUUGAGGAAGGAAAUGCAGUUCAAGUUAGCAUUGAAAGUGCUUGGCUGUAGAGGACAUCUAACAGAGCUGCUGUGUUUAUUGGCUCCAGAACAACUUAUUAUAGGUUUUUCAGUUCUCUUUAGGGUAGAAUAUGAGAUGGGGUUAGUCUUCAUCAAAAUGCAGUAUCUAGUACUUUAACUCAAGUGCUGGAAGACAGCAAAUCUUGGAAGUUUAUUAUAAAAAAAAAGAUAUUUCGGAUAGAUUCCUUUGUUGUCAUGGGCAAAACUGUAUAUCCACACAGGACUGUUAGACUCCUAGCCAAUAAAAUCAGACUAAGUCCAUAGGGAUAAGGUAAGUGUAAAUAAAUUUCCAUUGGGGAAGACAGGGCUCAUGGCCCGUGUAUCAAGGUCUCAAGCUGAGCACUGGAGAACUCCAGGGAACACUGUUCAUACAGGCUAUGGUGCGAAGGAAUUCCCCUGUAGGUAUGCCAUACUUCAGUCUCUUAAGAAGCUGAUUAGCAUGAAAGACUGGAAGCUGAUUAUGGACAAUUCAGUUUGAAUUAUUCCUUUCUAUUUUGCUUUGAACUUUCCUCAUACACUUAAGACAUGAGUAAAUCACUUGAGUGUUUUCUGAGAAAUCGUUUAAGUUUUCUGAGGCUCAGUUCCCUAACUCACUAAAAAGGAGAAUUAGCAGCCUGGCAUGGUGGCUCAUGCCUGUAAUCCCAACACUCUGGGAGGCCGAGGAGGGUAGAUCACCUGAGGUCAGGAGUUUGAGAUCAACCUGUCCAACAUGGCAAAACCCCGUCUCUACUAAAAAUACAAAAAUUAGCUGGGCACGGUGGUGGAUGCCUGUAAUCCCAGCUACUCAGGAGGCUGAGGCAGGAGAACUGCUUGAACCCGGGAGGCAGAGGUUGCAGUGAACCCUAAUUGCGCCAUUGCACUUCAGCCUGGGUGACAAGAGUGAAACUCCGUCUCAAAAAAAAAAAAAAAAAAAAAAAAAGCUUAUUUCUAAGAUAUCAUCUAUUCUCCAAUUUUGUACUUUUAUGAAUUCUGGCAAGAAGGGUUGGAGUGAUUCUGGGAAAGAACAUCCUUAGGCUGCCUUGAAGGGAGAAGAUAAUAUAGCUUUUCAUUUAAAAAAUGCUGAUAUCUACUUGCAAUCAAAAUCUAAGAAAACAUUCAAAAUGUGGUACUUUGCUUGAGGCAGAAUUUCUAACUAUCUUGUGAAUUAAUGAUAAGAUAAAUGAAAUGGCCAAACAAUCCCUUCAGUUUACCAGGUAAGAGGAUACAAAACUCCACACUUGUGCACAAUGAAGCUAUUCAGGUUUUGAUGAUACUUUACAGUGUCCCCUAUUAACAUUCAGCUUUUAAAACUAGUAUUCUGAUAAAGUGACAUUGUAUUAUUAGUUUUUUAUGGCAGUAGUAACUUAGCACUUAAUUAAUCCAGUCAUCUGUGACAUACAUAAACUUAUCCUGUAAAAAAGA